rnacentral:rRNA from 1 species
UACGAAGGGGGCUAGCGUUGCUCGGAAUCACUGGGCGUAAAGGGUGCGUAGGCGGGUCUUUAAGUCAGGGUGAAAUCCGUGGAGCUCAACUCCAGAACUGCCUUUGAUACUGGCGAUCUUGAGUCCGGAGAGGUGAGUGGAACUGCGAGUGUAGAGGUGAAAUUCGUAGAUAUUCGCAAGAACACCAGUGGCGAAGGCGGCUCACUGGCC